AUGGUGCUGCCCAGACUGCUGAAACUGGUCAUGUUGUCCAUGUGGCUGGGAUCCAGUUUUGCCCAGAAGGUGACUCAGGCCCAGCCAGCCAUGUGGGUGCAGGAGAAGGAAGCUGUGAGCCUGCACUGCUCCUAUGACACCAGUGCUGGAAGUUAUGGUCUCCUCUGGUACAAGCAGCCCAGCAGUGGGGAGAUGGUCUUCCUCAUCCUUCAGAACUCUUACAGCCAGCAAAAUGCCACAGAAGGUCGCUACUCAGUGAAUUUGCAGAAGGCAAGCAAAUCCAUCCAACUUGCCAUCUCAACCUCACAGCUAGGGGACUCAGCGGUGUAUUUCUGUGCACUGAGAGAUAGAUAG